GAGAGAGAGAGAGGAGGAAGAAAAAUGAGGGUCAGAGUGGAAGGGAAGUAGAAGAAAUGGUUAAGUCGAAUGGGUUCAGUAUGAGCUGGAGGACGGAGAGACGACCAGUGAGAGUCACACGGUGAGCCGAUGAGUGAAAGAGAGCAAGUCGAGCGUGAGGCCGUUGGGCCAGCCCAGGUCGGUGUUGAUCAGGACCUUCCGGUCCGAGCCGUCCAAGUGAGAUCGCUCAAUCUUCGCAAUGUGACCCCAGUCGGUCCAGAAGAGGAACCUGCAGUGACAAAGACAGAGCAGACUGUUGUUGACCAGGACUUUGCGGCACGUUCCGUCCAGCCGGGCCACCUCGAUGGUGUUGCGCCCGGUGUCGGUCCAGUACAUGUUCCGGGACACCCAAUCUACGGCCAGCCCGUCGGUGGUCUUCAGGCCCUGGCUGAUCACCGUCUCCAUGCCACUGCCGUCUAGGUUUGCACGCCUGAUCCAGCGAGAUGACGUUGUGCAGCUCGGGCACCGGCACAUGCACGUCGGUGUGGUCGUUGGUGUCCAGGGAGAUUCUGCGCACGCUGACGCGGUUGGAGAAAACCAGGUAUGUCUCCGGGGAGUCGUCGCACGACCUGCCGUCUCCCUUGAGCAAGAUGCCGGUGGGACAGGCGCAGGACGUGCCAUUGGGACGAGGGAGGCAGAGACUCACCCAUCGGCCUCUCCCUGUCCACGGCCUGGAUGUCCAUGAGGCCUGGCAGGUUGGCUCGCACAGUGAUGGUGUUGGCCCCUGUGUUCUUGUCAGCUCGCUGGAUGCUGCGGCUCUGCCAGUCAGUCCAGUAGAUG